GGCGAAGUAGCUCAGCUGGCUAGAGCGUUCGGUUCAUACCCGAAAGGUCGGGGGUUCGAUCCCCUCCUUCGCUACCA
rnacentral:tRNA from 1 species